UACAGAGGGUGCGAGCGUUAAUCUGAAUUACUGGGCGUAAAGCGUGCGUAGACGGUUAUUUAAGUCAGAUGUGAAAUCCCCAGGCUCAACCUGGGAACUGCGUCUGAUACUGGAUGGCUUGAAUUCGGGAGAGGGAUGCAGAAUUCCAGGUGUAGCGGUGAAAUGCGUAGAUAUCUGGAGGAAUACCGGUGGCGAAGGCGGCAUCCUGGACCGACAUUGACGCUGAGGAGCGAAAGCUAGGGGAGCAAACGGG
rnacentral:rRNA from 1 species